UGGGGAAUCUUCCGCAAUGGACGAAAGUCUGACGGAGCAACGCCGCGUGAGUGAUGACGGCCUUCGGGUUGUAAAGCUCUGUUAAUCGGGACGAAUGGUUCUUGUGUGAAUAGUGCGAGGAUUUGACGGUACCGGAAUAGAAAGCCACGGCUAACUACGUGCCAGCAGCCGCGGUAAUACGUAGGUGGCAAGCGUUGUCCGGAAUUAUUGGGCGUAAAGCGCGCGCAGGCGGAUUGGUCAGUCUGUCUUAAAAGUUCGGGGCUUAACCCCGUGAUGGGAUGGAAACUGCCAAUCUAGAGUAUCGGAGAGGAAAGUGGAAUUCCUAGUGUAGCGGUGAAAUGCGUAGAUAUUAGGAAGAACACCAGUGGCGAAGGCGACUUUCUGGACAAAACUGACGCUGAGGCGCGAAAGCCAGGGGAGCGAACGGGAUUAGAUACCCCGGUAGUCCUGGCCGUACGAUGGGUACUUGUAGGAGGUAUCGACCCCUUCUGGCCGGAGUUAACGCAAUAUACCCCGCCUGGGGAGUACGACCGCAAGGU
rnacentral:rRNA from 1 species